CUGCCACACAGCAGAGGUGACCGGCAGAGCAGCCUGAGGUCCCACAUCAAAGGACGGUGACCACAGGCCCUCCGAAGGGUGGAGCACCUGCAGCGGCCGGAGACGAAAAGGGAAAAGGAAAACCAAAAAACAAAAUAGGCAGCACAGAAGGACCGCAAGGCACCGCUCAUUUUCAGACACUCCUGGCAUUUCAGGUAAAGAGCAACUCACACAACUCCAGAUUGACAGAAAACAUGUUCCCCUGUCAACUAGGGAAGAAAAAAAGAAGAUUCACUGAGGUCCAGGGAAGCAAGAAUUCGGGCUCCCAGGCUUCUGGUCGCCCCUGGUCACCCCC
rnacentral:lncRNA from 1 species